rnacentral:rRNA from 1 species
UAGUCAUAUGCUUGUCUCAAAGAUUAAGCCAUGCAUGUCUAAGCACAAGCCGAUUAAUGGUGAAGCCGCGAAUAGCUCAUUACAACAGCCAUAGUUUAUUGGAUCUUCUCUCUACUUGAAUAACUGUCGCAAUUCGAGAGCUAAUACAUGCACCAAAAGCCUGACUUCGGAAGGGCUGCAUUUAUUAGAACAAAACCAAUCGGGCUUGCCCGUCGUUUGGUGAAUCUGAAUAACUACGCUGAUCGCAUGGUCUCGCACCGGCGACGUAUCCUUCAAGUGUCUGCCUUAUCAACUGUCGAUGGUAGUUUAUAUGACUACCAUGGUUGUAACGGGUAACGGAGAAUAAGGGUUCGACUCCGGAGAGGGAGCCUGAGAAACGGCUACCACAUCCGAAGGAAGGCGAGCGGGCGCGCGAAAUUACCCACUCUCAGAACGAGGAGGUAGUGACGAAAAAUAACGAGACGAGUUCUCUAUGAGGUCUGUCGUCGGAAAUGGGUACGAAUUUAAACCCUUUAACGAGGAAUCUAUUGGA